rnacentral:rRNA from 1 species
ACGCUCGACACCUACUGGAGGCAGCAGUUGGGAAUAUUGGACAAUGGAGGAAACUCUGAUCCAGUGACGCCGCGUGAAGGAAGAAGGUCUUCGGAUUGUAAACUUAUUUUGUCAGGGAAGAAAAAUGACUGUACCUGAAGAAAAAGCACCGGCUAACUACGUGCCAACAGCCGCGGUAAGUACUGAGCGGGCGUGGCAAGGC